UGAGGAAUAUUGGACAAUGGGCGCAAGCCUGAUCCAGCCAUGCCGCGUGAGUGAUGAAGGCCCUAGGGUUGUAAAGCUCUUUCAGCGGGGAAGAUAAUGACGGUACCCGCAGAAGAAGCCCCGGCUAACUUCGUGCCAGCAGCCGCGGUAAUACGAAGGGGGCUAGCGUUGUUCGGAAUUACUGGGCGUAAAGCGCGCGUAGGCGGAUUGUUAAGUCAGGGGUGAAAUCCCGAGGCUCAACCUCGGAACUGCCUCUGAUACUGGCGAUCUUGAGUCCGGGAGAGGUGAGUGGAAUUCCUAGUGUAGAGGUGAAAUUCGUAGAUAUUAGGAAGAACACCAGUGGCGAAGGCGGCUCACUGGCCCGGUACUGACGCUCAUGUGCGAAAGCGUGGGGAGCAAACAGGAUUAGAUACCCCCGUAGUCC
rnacentral:rRNA from 1 species